UCGCACGACGCCUCCCCUUCAGUUCUCCGACUCUCAUUUUCCUCACGGAAUGUCUAUCGCAGACCCUCGGCACGGAUUGUGAGAACACGAUACGUCGCUUCCGAGCCUGUAACAGGACCUCGCUUGCCGCGGCUGGAUCGAUCGUGGCCUCGACAAAUGCAGUCCCGCCGAGAGAAUGGGUUUCGGAACUUAACCCUAAGUUGCCCUUUGGUUCAAGUAUUGCGUCUGCAGUCGUCGACUCUGCCUUUUAAGUCCGCCUGGCUGCAGCAAGGCUUCGCCGCUGAAAAGUGGUGUAGGCUGAGCGAGGCCGACGUGGACGGACCGGCAGGGAACACAGUCCAGUCACCAUCUGGUGCGCGAAAGGAGGGUUACUAUGAGUCGUUGUGUAAGAGCCUCUGGUCUGAGGCCGCUCGUCAGAACCCAUCCGCUGGAACCAGUACUCUGGCCAAGAAUAGGUCGAUUGGGGGUGACAGCAGCCAUGACUCGCGGGAUCUUGCUGGCGGCACAUUGCUCUUUCCAGGCUUAUGAUAGACCCAAGUGGCGGCUAUCAACUUGUGUGAGGAGACCAGUGGGCAGAGCGCAGCGUUGGCCACAAACAGUCAGCAUCGAAGUUUCUUCGAUAUCGUCGUGGUCUUCCCUUGCCGGUCGCACUUCAGUGUUGCGAGGAUUCCAUGGCUACGCACGGAAACUUUUCGAUCUGACAGGACCAAUUGCCAUGCUGACAGCUCUCGGCACCCACACCUCCAACCACGGCUUGGGACUUACUCAGCAGAAUAGCUGCCCGCAUCGGAUCUCGCAGCCAGUCGGCGUCCCCCCGAACCACACCCAGGCAACUGCCUUGGAUGUGACAUGCCUGCAUGUGAUCUGGCCAGGCGCAUCAGCCUCCAGUCGUGGGUUCUGUCCCACGACAUCGGAGGACGCCAAAUCCCCGUUGUUCUCCCCCGGAGACCAACACUUCCCCGUUGUUCGUUCAGUCAUGAAUGUCAACGGAUGAGAGCGCGGUAGUUUAUGGAUGUCUUUCGUUCGCGCGGAAUGCCCUCCUUUGUCCACCUACACAGACGGAGAGGAAACGAAAACUUGUCCCAAGAGGCCGUGCGGUACAAGCAGAGAGAGCCUUUUCGACUGUUAAGGGCCCGCCCAGACUGCAAUUCAGCUCGUCGAAUCCCUGUUGAGCUGAGUAUAUGAAGGCUGCGGCUCGUGAGCAGAGGGCAAUGCAAGCGAUCCCCGCUGCACUCUGGGAAGGAGGAGGGGGGCUGUCGGACAUAUCCAAUCGAUUCUGGGACCCAUCUCGUGUUGGAGUCAAAGUUUUGUGCUUGUCUAGAAUCGUGUAGAUAUGGACGGCAACUUCUUUUCAAACCGCUCAGGGAGCGCUUAUUCGAAUCAAAGGGCAGGCCAUCGGAAGGUAGCCCUGGUUGCCGUCUCUCCAGCAAUGGCGAGAUUGGCAACCCC
rfam:Colletotrichum gloeosporioides Cg-14 contig00411, whole genome shotgun sequence.